rnacentral:rRNA from 1 species
UACGUAGGUGGCAAGCGUUAUCCGGAAUUAUUGGGCGUAAAGCGCGCGCAGGCGGUUUCUUAAGUCUGAUGUGAAAGCCCACGGCUCAACCGUGGAGGGUCAUUGGAAACUGGGGAACUUGAGUGCAGAAGAGAAAAGCGGAAUUCCACGUGUAGCGGUGAAAUGCGUAGAGAUGUGGAGGAACACCAGUGGCGAAGGCGGGUUGCUGGGCUGAUACUGACGCUGAUGCGCGAAAGCCAGGGGAGCGAACGGG